UUAAGAGCGGUUUUCAGGCUCCAUUCCAGACAAUGCUGGGGUUCCUCAGAAGCCAAUGAAAAAGGUGGGCUAGGAGAGAGGUGCAAAGACAGGUUGAGGGCUGAGGCACAAAACUGGCUGCAUCCAUUGGAUUUGGCGAAGGAGAGGCUCCAGGUGGAAAGAGGACUGCAGCCAACUUUCCAUGGACUUAGUGGUUGUUCAGAUGCUGGGGAGAAAUGAUGAAUUCACUCUCCCUAUACAUUCAGAUCACCUUUGGAAGCCCCCAUCUGGGAACCUUCACCAUUUGAGCCCCUCUUUAUAUAUGCUCAGACCCCACCCCCACCACCAGUUUUUGAGGAAGCCUUGCCUGAAAAGCUGACAACUCACAGAGAGACCUAUUAUAGCUUUAAUUACUUGAAGUCAACGCACAGGAGAGGAAGAUGUCGUCAUUUUAAGACUUUGCAUGUCUAAGUGCAUUGCCAGGAAGAAGUAGAAGAAAUGGAACGAAAAAGCUGCAAUGAUGAUUUAUACGUCUUGGCUUAAACUCAGGUAAAAAGACACAACCCAAACUCCAUUGAUAUCCAGCAUCUGUUCACGGGAAUUCUUUUGUUUCGGAUCCAAGUCUGACUUCUUGUAUUAUCAUACUGACUGGUACAGUGCUACAGAAACACAGAAGGUAGAUACAGUAGUGAUGCUCACAGCACAGCAAUUGUUUCCAUGCUGCAAGGUUGUAUUGCUGCAGUCUAGGGAAAGAAAUAAGAGACAGCUACACCAUAGAUAAUACGCGCAGCUUGACUAAACAAUUGGGAUAAUUAUAGUACCAAAACAUUAACCUUCCAGUACUUUUUUUGUUGGCUUUAUUCAUUUCUACCUGGGUCUACUCUGGUAGCCAAGUAUCAAUAGAUGGAAUGAUAUUAGGGCUUUCUCAAUAUUUUGCAAUAUUUAUGCUUGCAGAAUAGAACCCUUUUUGGGAGCAGGGACCUACACAUUUUAUGAAACCAAUAAGUACAGAGGGACCUUGGGUUACAUACGCUUCAGGUUACAUACGCUCCAGGUUACAUACGCUUCAGGUUACAGACUCCGCUAACCCAGAAAUAGUGCUUCAGGUUAAGAACUUUGCUUCAGGAUGAGAACAGAAAUAGGGCUCCGGCGGCGCAGUGGCAGCAGGAGGCCCCAUUAGCUAAAGUGGUGCUUCAGGUUAAGAAAAGUUUCAGGUUAAGAACAGACCUCUGGAACGAAUUAAGUACUUAACCUGAGGUACCAUGGUACAGUUAAUAGAUCUAGCAUAAGGUUCAGCUGCCCCACUUAAUUAUUCUGAUGUAUCCCUGGCAAUUUAUUAUCAUCAUUUUUUUGGGGGGGGUGCUUUUCAAAAAUUAUGUAGGCAUGAGUUUCUGGUCUUCAGUUUUUAGCCUCUUCCCCUGAUCUAGCCAAGGAUGGGGAACUCCCAGCUACUAUCAGCCUUAGCUAGCAUGGUUCAAGGUGAUGGAAAUUCUAAUAGCAUCUGAAGGGCCAGAGGAUCCCCAAUCCUGGUAUAAGCUGAGAGCUCAUAUGCUGUAGCUCUUGAGGUUUUUUCUUAACUGUUGAUGCCCUGUUGUAGGACUGUUAUGUUUUGCUGGUUUGUCUUUGACUGAAAUGCAUGCUCUUUGCUUAUAAAGCAAGCCACGAUGGGCUAUGGCAGAGCAAAAACCAAGGCAGCUUUCAGCAAAAUAUAGGGGUGGUGGUGGAUGACAUUAAGGCAGUAGAAUUGGGGAAAUUUCCUUAUUUUUGUCUGCAAUAUGCAGUAGUGUGUUAGCUUGGUGUAUAUUGCACCAAAGCAUUUUAUACAAUAUUUUAUCCAAAGUGGUAUGUACAAUUCCCCAGUUUCAAAUGAUUUGAUGGCAGUUCCACAGUAGUGGUACAUUUAUUUACAGGUGUAUAUAUCCCUGAUAAGAUGGCUUCUUGAGUGAUUGGGUCUCAUGUUUUUGCUGAGAGUUGCAGAUGUGUACAGUAUAAGUUAGGGAAAUAUUAUCAGUGGACCUGUGUGCUGUUUCGCAGAUGAGAAUAGGGGGUGCAAACCAUUUUGCUGGGGCAUGAGUGAGAGAGCGUCAGCUGUGUUGCCAUACCAUCAAUCAAUGGUUUUAAUUACUUACAUGAUUGAAUAAUAAAAAUCCUCACUGCUGAAUUGAUUUCUUGGUCUGGCAAAUGCCUGCUUUAUGCUGAAGCAAUUUUUCACCCAAGCCAAAUACUGUGUUAUCAAACUGCAGGGACUGUUUUCAUAUAAAGACUCAGAAAGGGAGGGAAAAUGGGCAAUGAGAACUCUGCACCAAACUGAUGUGGAAAUGGGCUGAGGAGUAAGCCCAAUACAGACAGUCCCUGACCAAAUACAGAGUUUUAACAGCACAGAAGCAUCAAAACUGGAAGAUUUUCCACAUGCCUAGCAGACAGCAAGUGAGUCUGAAAACAUCCAGAACUUGCUGAGAUGCCUCACAAAGCAUGACUAGUGGUGUCAUCACAAUGAGCAUGUGACAAUGUUGGCAGGUUUGGAGGAAGUCCAUUUAUGCAGGGCACAGCUAUUAUGUCUAGAGGGACAUGGCUAAUAUAUCUGCAUGUACAGAGAUCAGUUUAUCUGCUAUUGGCCAAUUGACCCAGAUGGGAGCCUGUCUUAUUUAUAAAUAUUACUAUUUAUACAUAUUAUUGUGUGCCAUACUCUCCAACAUUCCUCAGAUAAAAAUAGGGUCAUUCUAUUCUGCAUCAGUGCCCCCGGCCCUCCACCCAUAUAUAUAUGCACACUGCUGCGGAAAAUAUGGGAAAAGAGCAGGGUUGGCUGAGCUGCCCCAAC